GUCUGGAUGAAGUCUCUGAAUGUACUGGUGACAGAGCUGUUUUGAUGGCUAGCCCUUACAUCAGAGAUGUUCAAGAUGGCUAGGUGGGAAUACUUCAACUUUCGUUCCUUGCUACCUUUAUUUCACCUGAGACCCAGCUAGCAACCCCAGCGCUGUGUGUCCGUAUAUACCCGCUACAUCUGGAAGACCUUUACAAUUCACCUGUUAGCCUGAGAAAGAAAGCACCUCAAAGAACAUACAAUUAUAGCUGUCCCAUUGUUUGCUCUGUUCCAUGCCCAAGCUUGCAACCAACCACCAGUGCCCAAAACUGCACAUGAUAUUCAAGGUGAGGCCACACCAGUGCAGAGCAGAGCAGAGCAGGACAAUCACCUCCCUCGACCGGCUGGCGAUGCUGUGCCUGGUGCCCCCCAGGACACAACUGGCCCUCCUGGCUCAAGCAGCCAUGAGUGAAGAGAAGUCCAGGGGCAGACAGCAAGCUGUACAGGGGGGUUCCUGAGUCCAGGAACACCCAAGUAGCAGCCCCAUGACCCAGAAGUCCUCGGCAGUCAACCAGCAGCCGUUUUGCUCAUCGGAUUGGGACUGCCCCAGCCCCCAGCUGAGCUGUCCAGGUGUGACCAGUCACUGCUGAUAGCCUGGGGAUUCCCCUUUCAGGAGCUGCAUGGAGCACUGUCACCGUGUGGCCUGAGAUUACUGGAGGGGGUAGCUAGGUAAUAUUUUCUGCUGUUGUUUUUUUUUUUUGUUUUGUUUUUGUUUCUUUAUGGUGAUGGCAAAAAGGCACAAAAAAGAGUUAACAAUGGGUCAGCUGGUAUACCUUGUCCUAUUUCUCUACCUGUUUUGCUAAAAGAACAUUUUAGGAGCACUGGCUAAUAUCAUGUUCUGUUCUGCUCACUGGACCAAAGGCCUUAUUAUAGAAAGAAUAGGAGUAGUAUACACAAGGUAAUAAACUAGACAUUUGAAUAAGAUACAGAGGGCCCAGAGCCAGGAUUUUGCAAACUUGAAGAAUUCAGUUCACCUAACUUGAAGAGGUCAAAUUGAGGAAGACGUCUGUGGCGACCACCAGAGGGAUGAAGGCUUGAGGAGAAGAUCCCCACAGUAGAAGACUGUGCAUGCUCAAAAGGAUUAUAGAAAGACUCCGCCCAGAGACUAGCCUACUUAUUAAUAUGUAUGUUAGAUGAUGUAGCCAUGAAUCUAAAGUGUAUAAAAUGACUUGCUUUUGCAUUUUCAAGCCCAGCAAGUUUGUCCAGUGAGAGCUGGCUUGCUCCCAGUGUUGAAUAAACAAAUACCUUGCUGCUUAUAGAUGCAAAAGUCUCUGAGCAGUUAAUUAUUCCAAGGUUUUUCGGCAUCACUGGUUUUAGUAAAAUCGUUAUUUUUCCUCCUUCAUUCAGAUUCCUUGUAAUUUCUACCUUGUCAGUAUUAGGGGGAGAGAAAUAAAAGAAAAUGAGGGUUCAUCUUGUUAGCAGUCUCACCUCCCAAAUAUAUUGUCAUUAAACCAUGACACUGGGCAAUAAAAAUUACUGUGUAUCCCUAUAACUACCCUGUCUCUUUAUGUUUUAAGAUCUUUGUCUAAUUAUGGUCUUCAAUGACACACUUUUAAAUACUUCUUCAGUCUAAUACUGGUGCGGCAGCUUGGGGUCUACAGACUUCCUAAUAAUGUGCAGAUGGUUCUCAGGAGGAUUAACAUACCUGUGUUGCCUCUGUAGCUCAAGUAGCAGGUGGCAACGUUCACUGAGAAUAUAAACUUCAAAGGUGGGUGAUGGCCUUCUUCUGGGGCAGUUUUCUUUGUAAUGAGUAUGCAAAGAUGAACAAAACCAACCUCAUCUCUUCAGAUUUCUCAUUGAAUACAUAUUUAAUAGUGACAGCUUUCUUCAUUAUUAUCAGAGGAUUGUCCUUAUUCAUUACCUGAAAAUGUGUAGCUAAAAACCCAUGUUUCUGCUCCAGUGUAAAGCUUCAUAUUUAAUGUAUCUCAGUAACAAUGUAAAGAGAUGCUAAUCUCUUUUGAAGAUUCUGUGGAACAAGAAGGCUUUCCCAGUCACUUGCCUUUAUGUCUCUGAUAGUCAUGGGGUGUCUGUCACUCCAUCUGCCAAGCCCCCAGUAUCCAAGAAACAACAUAAGUUUUAGACAUAGAUUUUCUCUAAUGAAAAUUAUUCAAGAUAACAUAAUCUUUAUUGAUAUGUUGCAUAAGAGGACUAAGAAAACACAGCAAAAGUGAGAAGGGUGCUGAAUUAACCACACACACACACACACAAAGGCUAUAUACAUCACACACUAAACAAGAUCUGGAUAGGUGAACUGAAAUAAAAUUAUCAAGAGAUUAUUUCUAUUGUGCAAAAUUCCCAUUUCUCUCUUGCUAACAAAUUCAGAACUGAAAUCUUCAUAUUAUAUGCAACAAAGUCAUGUAUUUGUGAUGCUAGCCAAGCUCUUCUCCCAUCUUUCAGCCAGUAUCUCAUCUGAGUUCAUUGCACAUCCUUAGUUCAAAAAGACAGUGUGUGAAAGUAGAAGAAACAUAUUUACAUAUUAAAUUUAUAGAUUUUGCUUAAAAUUGUGGCUUGUUCCAAAUAGCCUUAAUAUAAAGUUCUUUGAAAGUGAUCAGCACAGAGAGAUUUUAGGGACAAUGAUUGCAAAUUUAAGCAGUGAAGGAAACAUAAUGCUUGAAAAACAAUUGUGGAGAGGAUAGAAGUCACUGUGACCUAGAUUGAAAAAUGAAAUUUGUAGACAGCAGAUGUUUCAUGUGAAAGAAGACCCAGUUAACAUUUUAAAAUGCACAAAUCCUCCCUGUCCCUGGAAAGAAUUGAGCUAACCUACUGACUAUUUUCUGUUAUUUAAAUAAAUGUCAGAUAUAUUACAUUCAAGUAAAAAGAUCUGCCUGCAGUCAGCAGAAAUUUACUUUUCACUCCUAAGAGAUGGAUGUGCUUGAUUAUGGAUGGGUAUGGGUAAUUAAGGUAGUUAUACAGUCCAAAACUGUUCAAACCAUCAGUAUUUUAAGUACUUUAAUAAAAUCUGAAAUUUGAAGUACUACAUAAAGUUAUUUGGAAUGAAAAUAUCUUUACAUCACAACUGAUGUUUACAAUGAGGUUAUUAAAAGGACAUGCAAGUGAUAAUGAAUCUUAACAGACCAACAUAACACAUUGGAAUUUCUUAUGCUGUCUUGAAAGAUAUAUAUGCUCAUGGUUGCUCUUUUUAUUAAUAGAAACAGUAACAAAAAAAAAGUUACACUGUCAAUUUUUUUGAACACAGGCCUAAUAAGUUUAAAAUUACCCUAAAGAAAACAAGGUUUAGCAAAAAUAAAAUAAUUAAGCAUGCUCAUUACUGACUUAGGGCUCAUAAUUAAGCUUAUUUGUAUCUGGCUUAAGGCUUGUAGUUAAGCAUACUCAUAGCUGCCUUUUAUGCCAGAGAAAAUAGGAUUCUUAGAAAACCUUAAUGGUUCAGUCACACCAGGGUGCUUAAGGGCUGGCUCCUAAUUUAAAAUUGUCUGUUUUUUAAAAGAGGCUGAGCUGUCUUCGGCCUUGCUGACCUGCAUGUAGCUGUGAGAAAACUCUCUGUGCAUGGCUGAGGAUUGCUGGGCUGGAACACACCCCACCACAGGCCAGUCCAGGUGCAGGAGCUGCCAUCCUGACUUCUCUCUGAAUCUUCCUUCCUGCUUGUCUCAGAGCUUUCUCAUGCCCCUUCAGACAAAACCUGGAAAGCUGGAGUAAAUCACAAAUCAGGUGUCAAUCUGGCCCCAAAAAUAAAGCACUAAGACCAACAUCUUCCAGAGAAACUGGCCAAGAGAUCCACAUAUAUUGCCUAACUCCUCAAAACAAUGAAAUAUCCCACAUUCAGGUAUUUGGC